AGUGAACGCUGGCGGUAGGCCUAACACAUGCAAGUCGAACGGCAGCACAGUAAUAGCUUGCUCUUACAGGUGGCGAGUGGCGGACGGGUGAGGAAUACAUCGGAAGCUACUUUUUCGUGGGUGAUAACGUAGGGAAACUUACGCUAAUACCGCAUACGACCUACGGGUGAAAGCAUGGGAUCUUCGGACCUUACGCGAUUGAAUGAGCCGAUGUCGGAUUAGCUAGUUGGCGGGGUAAAGGCCCACCAAGGCGACGAUCCGUAGCUGGUCUGAGAGGAUGAUCAGCCACACUGGAACUGAGACACGGCCCAGACUCCUACGGGAGGCAGCAGUGGGGAAUAUUGGACAAAGGGCGCAAGCCUGAUCCAGCCAUACCGCGUGGGUGAAGAAGGCCUUCGGGUUGUAAAGCCCUUUUGUUGGGAAAGAAAAGCAGCAGGUUAAUACCCCGCUGUUUUGACGGUACCAAAAGAAUAAGCACCGGCUAACUUCGUG
rnacentral:rRNA from 1 species